rnacentral:rRNA from 1 species
GGACGGAACCCCUGGAAUAAUCGUCGGCUAACUACGUGCCAGCAUCCGCUGUAAGACGUAGGACGCGAGCUUUAUCCGGAUUUACUGGGCGUAAAGCGUCUGUAGGCGGAUGUGUAAGUUGGGCGUGAAAGCUCCGGGCUUAAGCCGGAGAGGCCGUUCAAUACUGCAUAACUUGAGGGUGUCAGAGGGGAGCGGAAUUCCCGGUGUAGCGGUAAAAUGCGCAGAGAUCGGGAGGAACACCAGUGGCGGAGGCGGCUCCCUGGGGCACACCUGACGCUGAGAGACGAAAGCUAGCGGAGCGAACAGGACUAGAGACCCUGGUAGUCCUAGCCCUAAGCGAUGAAUGCUAGGUGUGGGAUCGAAUGGUUCCGUGCCGGAGCGAACGCGAUAAGCAUUCCGCCUGGGGAGUACGGCCGCGAGGUUAAAACUCAAACGAAUUGACGGGGCCCCGCACAAACAACGGAGCGUGUGGUUUAAAUUCGAUGCUACACGAAGAACCUUACCUGGAUUUGACAUGUAGGUGGUAGUGAAUCGAAAGGUGAACGACCAUUCGGAGAGCCUACACAGGUGCUGCAUGGCUGUCGUCAGCUCGUGCCGUGAGGUGUCGGCUUAAGUCCCGUCACGAGCGCAACCCUUGCUCCUAGUUACAAGUGUCUAGGGGGACUGCCGGCGGAAAGCCGGAGGAAGGUCGGGGAUGACGUCAAGUCAGCAUGGCCCUUAUAUCCAGGGCUACACACACGCUACAAUGGUCGGUACAAAGGGCA